GGCCUGCUAGCUCAGUCGCUUAGAGCGUCGUGCUCAUAACGCGAAGGUCACAGGUUCGAUCCCUCUGCCGGCCA
rnacentral:tRNA from 1 species